GUCCUCGUCGUCUAGCCCGGCCUAGGACACCGCCCUUUCACGGCGGUAACACGGGUUCAAAUCCCGUCGAGGACGCCA
rnacentral:tRNA from 1 species